UACAGAGGAUGCAAGCGUUAUCCGGAAUUACUGGGCGUAAAGCGUGCGCAGACGGUUGCGUAAGUCAGAUGUGAAAGCCCCGGGCUCAACCUGGGAACUGCAUUUGUGACUGCAUCGCUGGAGUGCGGCAGAGGGGGAUGGAAUUCCGCGUGUAGCAGUGAAAUGCGUAGAUAUGCGGAGGAACACCGAUGGCGAAGGCAACCCCCUGGGCCUGCACUGACGCUCAUGCACGAAAGCGUGGGGAGCAAACAGG
rnacentral:rRNA from 1 species